rnacentral:tRNA from 1 species
UCCCUGGUGGCUCAGAUGGUAAAGCGUCUGCCUGCAAUGCAGGAGACCCAGGUUCCAUCCCCGGGUCGGGAA